rnacentral:misc_RNA from 1 species
GAUGAAGAACGUAGCGAAAUGCGAUAAGUAAUGUGAAUUGCAGAAUUCAGUGAAUCAUCGAAUCUUUGAACGCACAUUGCGCCCGCCAGUAUUCUGGCGGGCAUGCCUGUUCGAGCGUCAUUUCAACCAUCAAGCCCCCGGGCUUGUGUUGGGGACCUGCGGCUGCCGCAGGCCCUGAAAAGCAGUGGCGGGCUCGCUGUCACACCGAGCGUAGUAGAUUUUAUCUCGCUCUGGGCGUGCUGCGGGUUCCGGCCGUUAAACCACCCUUUUAACCCAAGGUUGACCUCGGAUCAGGUAGGAAGACCCGCUGAAUUUAAGCAUAUCAAUAAGCGGAGGA